rnacentral:rRNA from 1 species
GACAGAGGGUGCAAACGUUGCUCGGAAUUACUGGGCGUAAAGCGCGUGUAGGCGGGUCGGAAAGUCGGGCGUGAAAUCCCCAGGCUCAACCUGGGAACUGCACUCGAAACUUCCGAUCUAGAGUGGUGGAGAGGGAAGUGGAAUUCCUGGUGUAGAGGUGAAAUUCGUAGAUAUCAAGAGGAACACCAGUGGCGAAGGCGACUCGCUGGACAAGUAUUGACGCUGAGGUGCGAAAGCGUGGGGAGCAAACAGG